UACGGGGGGAGCAAGCGUUGUUCGGAUUUACUGGGCGUAAAGGGCGCGUAGGCGGCGCAACAAGUCACUUGUGAAAUCUCCGGGCUUAACCCGGAGCGGUCAAGUGAUACUGUCGUGCUAGAGUGCGGAAGGGGCUACUGGAAUUCUCGGUGUAGCGGUGAAAUGCGUAGAUAUCGGGAGGAACACCAGUGGCGAAGGCGGCUUCCUGGCCUGUUCUUGACGCGUGAGGCGGCG
rnacentral:rRNA from 1 species